ACUCAAAUGAAUAGACGGGGGCCCGCACAAGCGGCGGAGCAUGCGGAUUAAUUCGAUGCAACGCGAAGAACCUUACCAAGGCUUGACAUAUACCUGAAAAGGCUGGAAACAGUCUCCCCGCAAGGCAGGUAUACAGGUGGUGCAUGGUUGUCGUCAGCUCGUGUCGUGAGAUGUUGGGUUAAGUCCCGCAACGAGCGCAACCCUCGUUCUAUGUUGCCAGCACGUAAUGGUGGGAACUCAUAGGAGACUGCCGGGGUCAACUCGGAGGAAGGUGGGGAUGACGUCAAAUCAUCAUGCCCCUUAUGUCUUGGGCUUCACGCAUGCUACAAUGGCCGGUACAAAGGGCUGCAAUACCGUAAGGUGGAGCGAAUCCCAAAAAGCCGGUCUCAGUUCGGAUUGAGGUCUGCAACUCGACCUCAUGAAGUCGGAGUCGCUAGUAAUCGUGGAUCAGCAACGCCACGGUGAAUACGUUCCCGGGCCUUGCACACACCGCCCGU
rnacentral:rRNA from 1 species